UCGGCGUGACCUGGCCCGUGGUCGGCUCGUCUGUGUAAACGUGUCCCAUCGGAGGAACAUCACGAUAGACGAGGCGGGGAGAAGGAGGGGUCAGGGGUGGUGUGUGAGUGUGUCGGGGCCCGUUGAGUGCGAGGACGGGUGGUGUUUCGGGGGUCCGUGGAGACGACGCCGGAGGAGGCCUGGAGAAAGAUGGCCGCGGAGGUGAGGAGGUAGGGGAGGUCGGGGCGAGGCGGCAGCAGAGGUGAUACUGUGGGGGAGGUCGGGGCGAGGCAGCGGGGGAGGUCCUAGGUCGGUGACUGAGGUGGUGGCGUACACGGGUAGAGGCGGUUGUCACAAACUGAAACUGCAUGUUCUUGAUCUGGUUCUUCUCUCUCUUCGCUUUCGGUGGGAAGCUCGGUACCUGGGGCGCUGCCGCCGGUACCCGAGGGAGGAGGGGUUCGACAAGCUCGAGGAGGUGCCUCUUAUGUUCGACGUCUUCCCGCACUUCUUUCUACAUGUUAAAGAGCUCUCCCUCUACUCCUCGUAUCUGCGGCGGGAGGCGUUUCACCGGUACCACGGCGCGCUGUUCGAGCUGCUGUUGAGGUUCUAGACCCGGUUACUACAGUCCCUCGACCGUAUGCUCUACCUCCUACACCAACUCGCGAAGUACCACCCGCAGGUCCCGAAACUCGGGCGGCGAUUGGGGCUGCCGAAGUUUCCCAAGCACUUCUUCCACCGGUCGAACAAGUGUUUUCCGUUCCGCGCGGUGGUCUAGCGGCUACGUUAGUUUCCGUAGUUCCUAGUCCAGGUCGUCCACCGCCUAGCUGCGCUGGCCAUGUUCUAACUACUACAACUCUGUUGAGAUGAUCGACGAAGUUGGUACCAACUGGGAGACCUGGGAGCGAACUACCAAGUCAAGUUUCUAGUCUCUCUCGAACAACCGUAGCUCCCCGGUUCUCUGCUCGAUUAGUUCUCCGACCGUCCACUUCUACCAACACACAGGUCCGUCGUCGAGUUCUAGGAGAGCUAGAAGCCUAAACCUCCUGAACCGUUCUGUUGGGAACGGUCUCGUCAAAUGCUGUUCUAUGUUCGUCUUAAGCAUACAUUCCGAAAACAAAGCCAGCCAGUCUUCGGAUUAGACUUCUUACAAGAGCAUCCAUAAGAGGAGGCUUAACUGUUUCGGAGAACAGUGUUACAAUGUAACAAUCUACUCCACGACGAGUAACUCUUUGAGGCUCUUGACGAAUGCUUGUUCUCCAUGGAAUAGUAUUAACUACUAUAUACCCUAUACUCAAGUACCCUAUAUUAGUUUACACAAAAAUGACUAUCAUUCACACCUUCGUCUCAUUAGUGUUGAUGAGCAUAGAAACUUCACCGUUUUCUCCGACCACUGUAAAUGUUCGUUCUUGGAGAAAGAGGUCCAUCUAGCUUCCUUAACAAGACAUACUCUAACAGAUAACCGUUUUCGUUUUCAGGAAUAGUACUUAGUCAAUUCUAUAGACUCUUCUAUAACGUCUUUACACCACCGUAUGGCGAUCGAUAGUAAUGUUAUCGAUCGAACAACCGAUCAUUUGGUCAUUGUCUAACCGGACCCCAGAUACUGAGAUAACCAAAGCCCUUACUUCUAUUGUUUCUUCACCUAUGGUGUUCUUUCUAUAACGAUAUAUCGAUGAUACUAGAAGGUAUAAUAGGUGCCGAAACGGAUAACGUGGAUCCGUAUAUGGGGCUUCUAAUACUCUAUUUUUUCCUGUGAAAUUAAACCUUCACCCACCGACUUCCUAUACAGGCACUCCUUGGUCCUUUUCCUAAUAAACUCCAACCUCUCUCUAUGGAGUUGUACGAGUAUCUGUCUUCGUACUAGGUCCGUCACCUCUCCGGUAUAGUGUCGUAGUAUAUACGAACAGCACACGUACUAAACCAUGAACUAUACUAAGUAAAAGAAAGUCUUCUGCUUUCAAAACAAUGACGUAGCUUGUCAUUGUACUGUAGAGGUGCAUGGUGAAGAGCAUCCAACCGGUAUUUAUUACUUUAGUAUCUCGUCCUACCUAGACAGCGAUUGUACUCGUACUUCGUCCACUCCAAUAUAUCACGGUGGUACACAGUGAAAUCAUGCAACGGUCACGAAAGUUUGAAAUUUCGAGAUGCACACAACCGAAAUCUUCUGACGUGAAAGUACCCUUCACUCGCGAGACACUUCGGCCUUCUAAGAGGAAUAGUAGAAUUAAUAGAACCCUCCGACUAAGUGGACUCCAUGGAACCCAAGAGUCUGGCCGACCAACCCAAGAGGGACGGACCCUAGAGGUACGGCGAAUAGAAUCUCCAGGGACUUCUUUAUCCCCUAAAUACCAAAAACGUUCAUGACCUGAACCCGUCUUGACCGUAAUUUUUUGACGGAGUUUGACAACCAGCCGAUUGCGUUAACUUCACGGACGCGAAACCGCCAAGGUCAUACCUCCACAACCUGACGUGCUUAAAUUGUAGGGAUCUUCUCGAUGUCAACGUGGAACAGAGAGGUCUAAAAGACUUUCCCGAACGGUUCGAUUUCCUCAACUCUUUCAAAUCGGAUGUGAAACUUCUCCUCGUGCCAUUAUACAACAAGUUUCUAAACUACCCUGUACAACGGUUAGAUGUUUUUGAAGUUCAGUAUUACCAAUGAACAUCCGUAGCUGGCAUAGGAGUCGGAACCAGGCUAAUGUGACCGAGACACUGGGAACCCGUGGAGGCAGUAGACUGUCACUUACCGGACGAAGGACCCGAUGGUCACACCUAAUUGAGGAGUACGGAGGGCUUGGAGACGGUGAACAUAUACCUUGACUGCCGAUACUUUAGCGUCCUAUACCUCUAGGAGCCCUCUAAGAGUCUCGAGUAAUGAGAGUGGCAAGAAGAGAUACUAAUGUACCGAAAAGGAUUGCGGUACCUCCUCCCACGUAAGGGGUUCAACUCUAUGAACCUUGACUUCUUAAAAUUGGUUGGGUCUAAACAUGACCCUCGUUACAGGUCGGAACUCACAAAAUCCUAUUAUUAGCCGGACCUUCCCUGGUUACCGACCCUGAAGGUAUCGGACCACUUGGAGGGAGCAGAACUCUUUCAACUACGACUUUAGGAUCCGUUGUGAUGGUACCCAUAGUUGCUUCUGCUCAACGUCCGUGUACUCAGCAACUUCGUCCGUGUACGUAGCAACUUCGUACGUCAACUCUAGGUAGGGUUAGUAGGGCGUGAGUUCAACGUCUAAAUAGUAUCAACUAGGCUAAAGGGUCGGCAGAACGUGAGUUACAUGGAGAAUGCCGAAGUAAACUGUCUUCCUCCGGAAGUACGUCUAUCAUUACCUCUACCUCAAGAUCUAGUACAAGUCUAGUCUUGUCUCGACACCAGACACCUCUACCGUUUCAACUGGCCCUAAUUUAGGCAUCCUACCUGAAGUUCGAUUACUCUAUGUCAUGUUCUAACUCACCGAUUUUUUCCAUUUGGGUAUCUAGAGGGUAAUACAAGGUAUACCGGUAAGUCAGGCCUACGGGAGUGUAGCUGCAUCAUUACAACGUUUAUGAAUUAAAGUCAAAAUACAAGGGCCACAUGACGUACCUAGAAGUCCCACAACUUGGGCUGACUCUGUGUGGGGUCACUGCCCUACCUUUGCUUUGUGUCACGGAAACGUUUCUCUUGGGUCGCAGCUAAGACUGUUACGAAGUUGUUAUAUAAGCCACCUACUAACCAACUGCACCUGCCUACCUGAAGACAGAUAGGCAACCACCGGGUAGCGCUAGGAACAUGUUCCCUCCUCUCGCCAUAAAUGUAACACGUAAUGUAGGUACUCAAGUUACCCGACAUGGACGUAGAACACUACUUGUAUCCAAUGUCAUUAUACACUAGAGUAAACACAACGUUUAUAACAAAAUAGUGGAUGCCUUUUCAGAGCUUAUACUCUAGCACUGAUACUCUCUCAUAGUCCCACUGGACGGUUCAAAGGACAUGGAGCUUUAGCACCUGACUCCCCUACUUCAGUCUUAUCAACGUCCCGCCGGGAUAGAAAACUGGGAUAACGAGCACACAAGGGAUCACAUCAAACAGUGAAAACCAAAAGCGCGGACGCUUAAAGAUUUUGGGUUCACACCCAAGACACCUGUAACCUAAACUUACACAUAACAACCUGCAUUUCACGAUCACCUUACAACUUCAGCGUCGUAAAGGGACUUUAAAGGUACUUUACAAACUUCAGCCUGGAUUUCACGGUCGCCUAUAUUUUC
rnacentral:rRNA from 1 species